rnacentral:rRNA from 1 species
CCUGCCAGUAACAUAUGCUUGCGUAAAGGACUAAGCCAUGCAGGUGUAAGUCUAAGAGGCGCCUCGUGCACACCCUCAAAACUGCGGAUGGCUCAUUACAUCAGUGGCAAUCUACACAGCUAGAUGGAGGCCGUGCCCGUUGCCCUUCGGGGUGGCGAUCAGCACGGUCUCCAACCGAUAGAUGGAUAACUGUGGUAACUCCAUAGCUAAUACAUGACGCGAAGUCCCGUGCCAGAGGGACGCAUUUACCAGUCAUUUCAAGGAUCCCACGCGUGCCCCGCGUAAGAGGAGUCAUGGUAAACAUCUAGCGGACCGCAUCUAAGGCUCGCGGCACGCUACGGCCCCUAACACGGGCCUAGUGUGUUUCGAGCCGGGCGGCGGGCUGUUCGAGCUUCUGCCCCAUCAGCUAGACGGUAGUUUACAGGACUACCGUGGCUGCCACGGGUAACGGGGAAUUAGGGUUCGAUUCCGGAGAGGGAGCCUGAGAGAUGGCUACCACUUCCAAGGAAGGCAGCAGGCGCGCAAAUUACCCAAUCUCAGUACGAGGAGGUAGUGACGAUAAAUAACGAUAUGGAUCCUUCGGGGUCCAUAAUCGGAAUGAGCACAGUGUAAAUAUCUUAACGAGGAACAAUUGGAGGACAAGUCUGGUGCCAGCACCCGCGGUAAUUCCAGCUCCAAGAGCGUAUAUUAAAGUUGUUGCAGUUAAAAAGCUCGUAGUCUGAAUUUGAGGAUUCUGGUAGUUUAGGGGCCUGUCGGAAGAUGGGCUGACCGGCUACUUGGCCUCAAACACCUAGUUGAUGCCUCUGCUCUUAAUUGAGUGGGGGUUUAGGCUGGGUCUUUUACCUUGAAGAAAUUGGAGUGUUCAAAGCAGAUAUUCUUUCGUCUUGCACAUAUUAGCAUGGGACAAUGAAAGAAGACCGCGUCAGAGUCUGGUAGUAACUCGGGCGCGGUAAUGAUCGAUAGGGGCGAUGGGGGCGGUUGGUAUUCAGCGGCUAGAGGUGAAAUUCUUAGAUUCGCUGCAGACUCCCGGAAGCAAAAGCGUUC